rnacentral:rRNA from 1 species
CCUACGGUGGGCAGCAGUGAGGAAUAUUGGUCAAUGGACGAGAGUCUGAACCAGCCAAGUAGCGUGACGGAUGACUGCUCUAUGGGUUGUAAACUUCUUUUAUAUGGGAAUAAAACGUUCCACGUGUGGGAUUUUGUAUGUACCAUAUGAAUACGGAUCGGCUAACUCAGUGCCAGCAGCCGCGGUAAUACGGAGGAUCCGAGCGUUAUCCGGAUUUAUUGGGUUUAAAGGGCGCGUAGGUGGAUUGUUAAGUCAUAUGUGAAAGUUUGCGGCUCAACCGUAAAAGUGCAGUUGAAACUGGCAGUCUUGAGUACAGUAGAGGCGAGCGGAAUUCGUGGUGUAGCGGUGAAAUGCUUAGAUAUCACGAAGAACUCCGAUUGCGAAGGCAGUUCACUGGACUGCAACUGACACUGAGGCUCGAAAGUGUGGGUAGCAAACAGGAUUAGAUACCCCUGUAGUC